UACGUAGGGUGCAAGCGUUGUCCGGAAUUAUUGGGCGUAAAGAGCGUGUAGGCGGCCCGAUUAGUCCGCUGUGAAAGUCCAGGGCUCAACCCUGGAAUGCCGGUGGAUACUGUCGGGCUAGAGUCCGGAAGGGGCGAGUGGAAUUCCUGGUGUAGCGGUGAAAUGCGCAGAUAUCAGGAAGAACACCCGUGGCGAAGGCGGUUCUCUGGGACGGUACUGACGCUGAGACGCGAAAGCGUGGGGAGCAAACAGG
rnacentral:rRNA from 1 species